rnacentral:lncRNA from 1 species
UUGGAUCCAAGACGAGCGUGCGGUGUGGUGAAUAAUAUAAGCACUAACACCAUGAUUGCAGGUUAUGAGCUAUCCACAAUAUACACAUCAACAAUGCACAUGAAUAAUAUAAAACUCACCUGAUACUUACCUGUGCGUCCACAGCACCAAUUCAUAUAUAUAUAUGCAUCAUAUAUCAAUUCAUGCUUUUCAUAUACUUCUAUGCAUGGCAUUCCAAAUCAUACUUUUCAUAUAAUUCUAUCCAUGGCAUUUUAAAUCAUGCUUUCAUUUAAAUUCAAUUUCUGGGAAAACUCAAUAGUAUAUAGGUAAUACGAAAACAAAACUGCCCACUCACCUGGAGUUCGCCCUAUAACUCCCUAGCACAACACAUCAGGCGUCAUGACGAUCGCCGCCUAGAACAAUAAUCAAAACCAACCUCAGAAAUCAUAUCGAUAGAAUAUAACUUAUAUAAACACAUCACUACGCAGUUCGAUCCGAAAGAUCUGCAACUCAGAUUUUAAAUCCAUAACUUCCAGAGGUCCACAAUAUAUCUCUAGGGCAACAUCCUGAAAUUUCAUUACCAUCCAACGGUCGGAUCUCCGUCAAUUUUCCAAAACUAAGUGACGGUUAACAUUUUAUUUUAUGAACUUACAACUCCAAUUCCGGAAGAUCCGUAACUCGGAUUCCCAAUCCGUAAGUUCCAAUAAUCCUCAAAUAUUACGUAUUACAACGUAUCAGAGUUUGGUGACAAUCCAACGGUCGGAUCGUCAAUUCACAUUUUCACCUAAAUGCGAAAACUAUAAAACGUUAUUUAAAGCACCUAACCAAUAAUCGUAAUAACUUUCUCAUACGGUGCUCAAUUUGGGUAUAUGAAUAUACCACAGUGAUCUACUCGACGUCACGAACGUCGACAUAUUUUUAGAUUAUUUUUUUGAUGUGCCACGCGCCCCCACGCGCCACACGUGGCACGGGUCCACGCGCAGGCCACGCGCAGCACGUGCAGCACGUGUCAUCCCCUUCGCAGGGCUCGCCGGACUGGUUUUUCCGGCGGCCGGACUCCGGCCAAACUCCGGCCAGUUUUCAAACUCCUUGUUCUCCUUCGUUUUUCACCCAUUUUCUUCGUAUUUUAUACCAAAUUGAAGCCCUAAGAGUGUACUAUCACGUUGGACUAGUUUUAGGGCCUAAAAAGCAAGAAAUCUCACCUUGCAAAAACCAAAGAUUCGGCCAACCUUGAAACCCACGAUCCCGACGUCCAAAUCCUUCAAACGAACGUCCCCGAGCUUCCUUAGGACCUCACUAAGCUUGCUAUAAGCUUGGAUUCCCCUGAAACACAACAUUUUACGUUCGCAUGAACAGUACCCAAAAAUGGAGGUUUCGGAUUCCGCGUGAAAUCGAAGGUUUCACUUCCUAAAACUAGCACCAAUGAACUCAGGACGUCAAAAGGAUGAAGAUACAUACCUUAUUUGCCUCGAUCCGUCGAGUUUGUGGAGGGUUUGGGUGUGUGCCGUACGAUGGGUGUGUGUGCGUGAGUUCGUGAGGGAGAGGGAGAGACAGGGAAGGCACGGGGGAAGGAGAGGUCUUGUGUGGUCCAGAUUAACCCACACCCUCAAUUUCAUCCUAGCCAUACAUAACAAAAUCCAUCUUUCAAAAUAUUUUCUAAUACCCUUGCAUAAUAUUUGAACCAAUAAAGUCUCACACACACGUACCUAAGUACCUUAGUAACGUCAAGGGCAAUCUCGUCAUUUCCUAUUCCCGUCAAAAGCACUUCUGGGACGGGCUGUGACAAUCUUCCCUCCUUAUAGAAUUUCGUCCCCGAAAUUCCCAUAACCAAAUAAAUCAAUUAAUACUCGUAGAAUAAUCUUGUGUACAUCUCUCUCAUCCGGUCUUCCGUCUCCCAAGUAGCUUCCUCUACAGAAUGAUUUCUCCAUAACUCCUUCACCAAACUCACCGUCUUGUUCCUUAGAACCUUGUCCUUCCAAUCCAAUAUUGUGAUUGGUUCCUCAUCAUAAGUCAAAUCCGGAUUAAUCUCUAGCGGUUGAGGAGGGAUCACAUGAGAAGGAUCAGAAAUAUAAUGCCGAAGCAUAGAGACAUGAAACACAUUAUGGACCUUAGAUAACUUUGGAGGCAGCUCCAACCGGUAGGCAACUUCACCAACUCUUUCAAUGAUCACAUAAGGUCCAAUGUAGCUCGGACUUAGCUUCCCUCUUUUCCCAAAUCGUACCACAUCUCUCCAAAGUGACAAUUUCAAAAAUACCCAAUCACCCACUAUAUACACUCGAUCAGUAGUAUGCCGAUCUGCUAACUCUUCUGUCGAUCCUGGGCUGCUUUCAGGUUUGACUUAAUUACCUGAACAUUUUGAGUAGUCUCAUCUAUAAUCUCUGGGCCUUCUAACACCCUUUCGCCAACCUCAGACCAACAUAAUGGUGUUCGACACGCCCUACCAUAAAGUGCCUCAAAUGGUGACAUACCAAUGCCCGAGUGAAAACUGUUAUUAUAAGCAAACUCCAUCAAGUCCAGACGAUUAUGCUAGGAAUCACCAAAUUGUAAUACUGAAGAUCUCAACAUAUCUUCCAACGUCUGAAUGGUCCUCUCUGAUUGCCCAUCAGUUUGAGGAUGAUAAGCUAUGCUAUACAGUAAUUGUGUACCCAGAGUUUCCUGAAAAGCCACCCAGAAUUUAAAAGUAAAUCUCGGGUCUCGAUCAGAGAUAAUAUUUACUGGAACUCUAUGAUACCUCACAAUCUUUGUGAUGAACAACUUAGCCAAUUUAUUCAAAGGCUACUUUUCUCCCACUGAAAUGGAGUGUGCUGGCUUGGUAAACCGAUCUACAACCAACCACCCAAACGCUAUCAAAUCCAUUCUGUGUACGUGGAAGCUUAUACACAGAAUCCAUAGUGAUAUUUUCCCAUUUCCACUGAGGAACGGGAAGUGGCCGCAUCCGACCAAAAGGUUUCUUUCUUUCUGCCUUCAUUUGCUGGCAAAUAAUACAUCUACUCGCAUACUCAGCAAUUUCUCUUUUCAUACCAGGCCAAUAAAACUUCUUCUUAACUUUUACCUUAAGCUUCAUCCCAGUAGGUCUCAAAUCCGUAAGAAGGAAAACAUAACAAGUAUACAAAGCAUCAAUUCUUACUGGAGCUUUCCUACCAAGUGCUUUGGUCGCAAAAAUUUCAAGAUCACCCUGGUCGUGCAAUCAUAAUCACUAAGCAACCAAAUCCAUCUUCGUUGCCUAAGAUUAGAUUCAUCUGAGUAAACAGAUAUUGGAGACUCUCAUGAUUCGUAGAAAUCUUACACUUUUCUUCAUAAAGAUAAUGUCUCCCAAUCUUCCCAGCAAGAUGAUAGUUGUUAAUUCCAAAUCACGAGUAGAGUAAUUUAUCUCAUGAGGUUUCCAUUUGUCGCGGAGCAUAGACAAUUACCUUAACACUUCCACUUUAACACAUCCAACACCACACAAAGAAGCAUCAUUAAAACCUUCAACAAACCAUCUAUAACACCCUGCUAAGCCAAGAAAAUUCCAAACUUCAGCCACGGUUCACGGUUGUUCCAAAUUCUCAAUCGCUGCUACCUUUUAAAAUUUCGCUUGAAUACCUUAAGCAUAUAUAACGCAUUUUAUAAUUGUUGUUGAUUCAUACAACAUUGACAUUUGCUAAACUUAGCAUACAAUCAACGUUCCUUCAAUCUUUGUAACAUCAACUUAAAUAUCUAACAUGCUCUGCUCUCGGCUUAGAGUAUCCCAGAGUAUCGUCAAUGAAAACAAUAACGACCUGUCAAGAUAUUCUGGGAAAACUUCAUCCAUCAACUUAUAAAACAGCAGGAGAAUCCGUCAAUUCGAAUAGCAUCACAAAACUCAUAAUGACCGUAACGAGUCCUGAACACAAUCGUAGGAACGUUAUCAUUAACUCUUCAAUCGGUAACAACCAGACCUUAAGUCAAUCUUAGGAAAUACGCAGACCUCUAAGUUGAUCAAUAAAUCAUCAAUACGCAACAAUGGAUAACGGUUCUUGAUCAUUACCCGAUUCAAUUACUUAUAAUUAAAACAUAGCCUUAAUGUCCAUUUUCUUCCUCACCAAUAAACUGGUGCUCCCCCCAACGUGAUGUACUUUAAAUGAUACCUUUGUCAACCAAUUCCUGUAACCAAAUUUUCAAUUCCCUUAACUCAUCAUGAACCAAUCUUUAACAUAAAAUUUGUGCCUGGAGACAAAUCAAUAGUGAACUCCAUAUCUCUGCCUAACGGCAAUCCAGGUAAUUCCUCAGGGAAAACAUCAAGAAAAUGUCUAACCGCCUUACAUCUCUCAUACCAUUAGAAGCAACAUCAUUUAGCACCCUAUGAGUUAAGUAUCCUUGGCAGCUUUUCGAUAACAAUCUCUUUGCUCUCACAGCAUAAAUAAAGGCCUAACUCAAUCCACUUUGCAUACCCAUAAAAGUAACCUCUGAUAAUCCAUAUUGGCAAGAUUAUAACCUAACCAAUCAGUGCUUAAAAAUCACAUCGAAAUCCACAAUGUCUAACACGAUAAGAUUCACUGGCAUAACUACUUCUUCCACUAUCACUGGACACCCUGAAGGUGUAAUAUUAUCAUCUUGUUCUUCAUUAGAAAUACAUAAAUACGCCUCGAUCGUGCUCCAACAUUACUCUCUUUGGCAACAUCGUCCAUAAUAAGAAAUAUAUCAGCCGGAGUCAGCUAGAAUGACCUAUACGGCUUACUCUUCAAUUUUCCAAAUAAUAUGUUCGCCGGAUCCACCUCUUGUGGCAUGUACGGCUGGACUUAUAACUCAUCAAAUAUCCCUGUACUCACGGCCCAUCUGACCAAACUAUUAAGUCCAUAAACCUGCUGGAUCGAUAUUGUGGUGUCAGGGAAGACUGCUGGGUAAUAACUGAUUCUAGGGACCAUUCAUAACUCUAUGUCCCAUCCGUCCACAUGAACACAUUCACUGAUCCCCACACUUUCCAAAGUGUCUAAUAUUGUACCUAUGGCACAAAGGUACAUUUUCCUUACUCGAGUCACCUUGUCUUUAAGAUCUGAGAUCACCAGUAAAUCUAUCACUUCGCCUCUGACCAGUGGCAUUAAACCUAAGCUGGAAGAAUUAGUUCUAACUUCACUUCUUUUGAAGCUCUGAGUCUUUCGAUGUCCUUGAUAUGACGAUUCUUUAAACUUAUCGUCUUUCCUCUAAUCACCAUUCUUUUCUUAUUCUUCUUUACUCACGCUGAUCAUGUUCUCAGAGUCCUCAACCCUCAACAACAUCUCGUAAGCUCUUGAUAGACAGUACAAUAGAUAGGGGUCGCCAAAGAACGUCACUUCUUCUUAUUAUCCAGCCUAAAACAACAUAACACUUCAACCAACUUAGCAACAAUAUCCAAAUGGAAACGAGGCAAGUCUAAAAACUUUCUAUAAUACUCAUUUGCUGUUAUCUUCCUUGUUUCACCUUUGCAAACUCUUGCUUACUACCAUCAUAAUAUACCGGAGGAAUAAAUCUUUUCUUUAACAAUUCCUUAAAUAAUUCUCAAUCAGCUGUUUCCUCCGGUGACAACGAAUAAUACUCCUGUUUCCACUAGGAUACAAAUUCAUAACCCAUAACCAGGUAGUCGUCUCGACCCACCUGUCAGAAUGAAUAUUCUUUUGACUUGCAUAACCCAAAACGUCUUUUCCAAGUGAGUAAGCCAACACUCUGCUCCCUCAGGUUCAUAAUUUCCAUAAAGUGAUUCAAAUUCAACUUAUAACCAGUCUCAAAGGGUUUCUUAGAUAAUAGACUGGAUCAUAAUGGCAAUAAUUCCCCCCCAAACUACUAUAUCAGGGAAAUUAGGUUAAUCCGAACUACGUGGCUCGCUACGAGGCGGUAUCGUUCUGACAGAAGACACUAGGAAAUUCUAAAGAUGUCCAAGAUUGAAACCUAGGCUCUGAUACCAACUGACACACCCCGUCCCGAAGGAGGGCAUGCUGGCCGUCACAUGAGAGUGACGUAACCAUUUAUACAGUUCGGAAGCUUUUAAAAUACAAUUAUUAAAAUGGAAACCCUCGAGGGUGAGUCCUACUUUUGUGAAUUCUGUCAGAAUACCGUUGGAUUCCUCGUGGCCACCAAAACUCUGCUCUCAAGAACCUGGAGGGGCGAAAAACAAAAUUGAGUGGGUCAGUAAAACCAAGCUUUUCAAAAACAUUUCGCCAAAAAUAAUUCUAACCCCUCACUGUAAAACCUGUAUACUUUUCCCAGAAAAUAGUAUAAUAACAUAAUACUUUUCAUAAAUCUCGAAUCGUCAAUUUUUCUUUAAAACCCGAAAGUAUGCCAUGUUUUAAUUUCGAAAACAAAAUAAAUGAUGCAUCAAUGUAACAGGUGAAAAGUUGAAUUAACCGGAGACCCUGCAGUUGGUCCUGUACGGUUAAUUCCAUAGCUCAACAUCCAAUCCAACCGGAGUCACCUCGAUGACCUGUACGGCACUACACUGCAGAUAAGUCGGAACUACCUGAAGUAGUCUGUACGACAUGGAUGGUGUAAUAAUACGCUCUAGUGCUUCUCUCAUCAAUCAUCUGUGCACAUAAUCUAAGGUCACCCACUAGUCGGAAUCACAUCUAGUAAUCUAUACGACUAGCAUGUCGGAACCCUCACUUGGUCUGUACGACAUCCACCUACUUGGAUCCAAGACGAGCGUGCGGUGUGGUGAAUAAUAUAAGCACUAACACCAUGAUUGCAGGUUAUGAGCUAUCCACAAUAUACACAUCAACAAUGCACAUGAAUAAUAUAAAACUCACCUGAUACUUACCUGUGCGUCCACAGCACCAAUUCACAUAUAUAUAUGCAUCAUAUAUCAAUUCAUGCUUUUCAUAUACUUCUAUGCAUGGCAUUCCAAAUCAUACUUUUCAUAUAAUUCUAUCCAUGGCAUUUUAAAUCAUGCUUUCAUUUAAAUUCAAUUUCUGGGAAAACUCAAUAGUAUAUAGGUAAUACGAAAACAAAACUGCCCACUCACCUGGAGUUCGCCCUA